rnacentral:rRNA from 1 species
GAUGAACGCUGGCGGCGUGCCUAAUACAUGCCAGUCGAGCGAACAGACGAGGAGCUUGCUCCUCUGACGUUAGCGGCGGACGGGUGAGUAACACGUGGAUAACCUACCUAUAAGACUGGGAUAACUUCGGGAAACCGGAGCUAAUACCGGAUAAUAUAUUGAACCGCAUGGUUCAAUAGUGAAAGACGGUUUUGCUGUCACUUAUAGAUGGAUCCGCGCCGCAUUAGCUAGUUGGUAAGGUAACGGCUUACCAAGGCAACGAUGCGUAGCCGACCUGAGAGGGUGAGCGGCCACACUGGAACUGAGACACGGUCCAGACUCCUACGGGAGGCAGCAGUAGAGAAUCUUCCGCAAUGGGCGAAAGCCUGACGGAGCAACGCCGCGUGAGUGAUGAAGGUCUUCGGAUCGUAAAACUCUGUUAUUAGGGAAGAACAAAUGUGUAAGUGACUAUGCACGUCUUGACGGUACCUAAUCAGAAAGCCACGGCUAACUACGUG